CGGGUCGUUAAAACUCUUUUUUUGGUGGCACGAGCAUUGAGUGACACUCUUGUUUCUUGCGCAGCACUUCCGGUUCACCUCCUGAGACGACCGGGGACGAAAUUC
rnacentral:lncRNA from 1 species